GAUGAAGAACGUAGCGAAAUGCGAUAAGUAGUGUGAAUUGCAGAAUUCAGUGAAUCAUCGAAUCUUUGAACGCACAUUGCGCCCCUUGGUAUUCCAUGGGGCAUGCCUGUUCGAGCGUCAUUUGUACCUUCAAGCUUUGCUUGGUGUUGGGUGUUUGUCCCGAGGGACUCGCCUUAAAGUAAUUGGCAGCCAGUGUUUGGUUUUGAAGCGCAGCACAAGUCGCGAUUCAAGGCUACACGCCCGCUUCCACAAGCCUUUUUUCACUUUUGACCUCGGAUCAGGUAGGGAUACCCGCUGAACUUAAGCAUAUAAUAAGCGGAGGA
rnacentral:misc_RNA from 1 species